rnacentral:rRNA from 1 species
UACAGAGGGUGCUAGCGUUGUUCGGAAUCAUUGGGCGUAAAGGGCGUGUAGGCGGUUUGCUAAGUCAUGUGUGAAAUCCCUCGGCUUAACCGGGGAACGACGCACGAAACUGGCAAGCUAGAGUACCAAAGAGGGGGGUGGAAUUCCCGGUGUAGCGGUGAAAUGCGUAGAUAUCUGGAGGAACACCGGUGGCGAAGGCGGCGACCUGGGUCGAUACUGACGCUGAGGUGCGAAAGCGUGGGGAGCAAACAGG